UAAAUUGGUUAGUCUCUAAGGUGCCACAAGUCCUCCUUUUCUUUUUGCGAAUUCUCUCUCUCUCUCUCUCUCUCUCCAGUAACAAAAGGCAACACCAGAAAGUUUGAAGAAUGUAGUGCUGCCUGAGGCUCAAAUCUUGGUAUAGUUAAUAGUGCCUCAUGAAGCUGCCUUGUUACCAUAGCAAUUUAUCAUACCCAGGAGUCACUUCAUAGGGGUGUUGCUGCAGGAAUUAUGGCUUGGUGAGGUCACAGCAGGAUUGUAGCAAUUAAGCCUGGGCUGCAGGGGGCUUGCAGGGGCUGGAGCUGUUGUGUGAUGGGCCCUGUGUGUGAGGAGCCAAUGGUGGCGGCUUGAGCUCAAGCUCCAGCUGCUUCACUAUAAACUAAGAUUAUCAAUCCUAGAUGGUGGAGAAUAAAAAAUGAUUCCUGUAUCACUGAAUGAGUCUGUGGGGGAAGAAUUUGACUUUCACUAUCCAGUCAUCCAAGAAAAGCAAAGGAAACCAGAACAACAACUACUCCUCUGUUUGUGACAGAUUCACCUAUUUUGUAGGCAUGGGAGAAUUUAGUGUUGGCUUGGGCUUUACAACACCCCUUUCCCCCCAAAUUUUAGGUUUCAUAAAACCUCUUUGAAUUUAGUAAACCACUUUAUGCCUUUAAACACUGGGUUUUUUAAAGGGAAAUUUAAUUUAAAAGAUUUAUGUAUAACUAAGUGGAAGACUAUGCUGUGCAAACAAAAGAGAUUAUUGUUUGAAAAUAAUUCUAGCCCUGUUGGGACCAUGUCCAGAACUCAUAUUUUGUCAGAGCCAAAUGGAAAUUGAACCUCAGAAGUUUCCAGUUCUGUUACAAAUCUACAAUCCAUAUCUGUAGUAGAGGGUGUUCACAGGCCAAAUCCUACUGUCAGCUCUGCCAGUGUAAACCCAAAGAGACUUCUCUGACUUCACAUCUGGGCCUACAUUUGGAAAACAAUUUCACAUCUCUAUAUUUUUUUGCUCACUUUCUUCUUGGGUUUUUGUUCAUUUCUCUGUCAUUGUUUUUAAAAAUUCCAACUGAGCCAUUAGAAUAACUCAUAGUACAGUAAGAAAACGAGGUGUACUUGUGGCACCUUAGGCCUAGUCUACACUAUGAGUUUAGGUCGAAUUUAGCAGCGUUAUCUCGAUUUAACCCUGCACCCGUCCACACAACGAAGCCCUUUUUUUCGACU